GCCCCGAUGCUGGAAUUGGCAUACAGGUACGCUUCAGAAGCGUAUGUCGAAAGACGUGGAGGUUCAAGUCCUCCUCGGGGCA
rnacentral:tRNA from 1 species